CUAGCCAAAGAGGAACAACCCCCUCCUUAAUGA
rnacentral:tRNA from 1 species